CAAGGCGGAUGGCAAAAUAGUGCCUUCACCAUUCAGUGUACGAACCAGACCGGCAGGGGAAUCUUACUUCAACACUGGCAAUGUGCCUGCCACCACACCUGAGGACAACCAGCUAUCUUAGCAGGUGCAGAUCUCAUGGCACACACCUCUGUCUGCUCUCUCGGGGCCAGCCCUACCAUUGGGCAGUGUGAUGGCCUGGGAAUCUGAUUCAGAAGCUGAACCUGAGGAGUCCCAGCCUGCACAGGAGUCCCCGCCUCCAGGGCUGGCUGAGCCGGGGCAGGGGCUUGAAUCUGAAGGGUCUGCACCUGUGCCGGAUCCUCAGGAGCAGACACCAGAUGAAUCCACUCUGGCUCCGGAGGUGGUUGAGGACCCAUUGCCUGCAGGUGCGCCUCUCCCAGCCCUGCCAGGGGAAGGUGAAGCUGCACCUGGGUCCAGUAACCCUCCAGCCUCUCCUGAGCUGCAGAGGCUCAGGGCAGAGAGGUGGAGGGAACUGGGUUCUCUCAGGAGGACUGCUCGCCUUAAGGCCAGGAGAGGCGGGUCACCUGUGGGCCGGGGCUGCCCCUGGCCUCAGAGAAGAUAAAGGUCAGUCAGCCCAGUCCCAGGUUGCGGGAGCAACGUCGUUGGAAACCUGUUCCUGCCAGCACCCUGACCUGCUCCUCCGGAGUUCCUGACCACGCCCGGCUCCUUGCCUUGGACCCCGCUUCACCCUUGACAGACAGCCUCCAGACCCUUGACCCAGGACCGGACUCAGACCACGCCGCACAGUAACCCCCCCACUCCGGGGCCAGCACAGGCAGCCACGCCAGGCAGAAGAUUUCGGAAGCUGAGUGUCAGCUGAUCCCUACCGAGAGACGGCAGAAUGCCUUGAACUCCAGGUAACUGAGGUGGUUGGCCAACUCUCCUGCGUCGAGGUGAUCAAAAAGCAGGGACACUUUCCUCUUCUUGCCGCAGCCGGGGCUGCUUUGGCAGCUGAGGGAUCGGGUCCACGUCCGGGUCAUCCUGAAGAAGGAAGCAAGGCCAGAACGCCAAGUCAGAUGCUGAAUACUUUGCAUGCUUCGAGGUAGUAAAGGUAAAGGACCCCAUGACAGUUAAAUCUAGUAGAAUUUGAUUAUGGGUUGCAGAACUCAUCUCCACUUUCAGGCCGAAGGAGCCAGCGUUUGUCCACAGGUAGCUUUUCCGGGUCAUGACUAAACCAUUUCUGGCACAACGGAACACCGUGACGGAAACCAGAGCGCACGGAAACGCCGUUUACCUUCCUGCUGCAGUGGUACCUAUUUAUCUACUUGCCCUGGUGUGCUUUCGAACUGCCAGGCUGGCAGGAGCAGGGACAGAGCGACGGGAGCUCACCCCGUCGUGGGGAUUCGAACCGCCGACCUUGCGACUGGCAAGCCCAAGAGGCUCGGUGGUUUGGACCACAGCGCCACCCGCGUUCAUGGUUAGCUGAACCCUUGACUGGAAACGCAGAUUGGUCUGAGGAGCGUGGUAAAU